UUUGGCGGGGCUUUUGUCUCUCGCUGCAGCCAGAGCUUGGGAUCGCUUUCUGCUAUUCAACGUCCUCCACCUCUGCCCCCCUCUCGCCCCAGCCGGUGACAGGCUGUUGCCCUGUGAUCUGCAGGUCCUGGGACGUGCACAGACAGCUAAGAUGCCAGGACAUUCCAGAAGCUACUCCGGGGGCUGAGGCAGGAGAAUCGCUUGAACUCGGGAAGCAGAAGUUGCAGUGAGCCAAGGUCGCACCACUGCACUCCAGCCCAGGCGACAUUGUGAGACUCCAUCUCAAAAAAAAAAAAAAGAAAAAAAGUGUACUAACAAGACCCAGCACACAGAGGAGACUUUUACCAUUGUAUGAACACCCAUCAAACAGUACACAUCAUCAUUGUGAGUUCUGAAUCUCACACAUAGAGGAAGUCAAAGGUGGAAAACUUGACUCUCAUAUUUGGAUCCAGUCCACAGGUUCUGCUAGCAAGGAAGACUGAGACAUAUUGUGGGGCUCUACGCCAAUGUGACAUUACUGUUCUGCCUUGGCCUGUACCUGAAAAGGCAUUGUGACAUAUUGCUGGGCCCAGCAACAAGGUGGCAUGAGUCUUCCGUAUGGACCCUGACA
ensembl:lncRNA LINC01224 long intergenic non-protein coding RNA 1224